AACGUAGGUACCGAGCGUUAUCCGGAUUUACUGGGCGUAAAGCGCGUUCAGGCGGCUCAGCAAGUCGGGCAUGAAAUCUCUCGGCUCAACCGGGAGGGGCUGUCCGAAACUGCUGGGCUUGAGGGCAGUAGAGGGUGGUGGAAUUCCGGGUGUAGUGGUGAAAUGCGUAGAUAUCCGGAGGAACACCAGUGGCGAAAGCGGCCACCUGGACUGUACCUGACGCUCAAACGCGAAAGCUAGGGGAGCGAACAGG
rnacentral:rRNA from 1 species